rfam:Myotis davidii contig43487, whole genome shotgun sequence.
GGCAGUUCUUGGGUGACACACGCCGGAAUCAGGCUCCCUCCUCUCUGGUUCUAGGUGCAUCACCUGAGAAUCACA